CGCCUCUUGCUAACAAAGGAAGUACUAGAGGUCCCGCCUGCCCUGUGACCACAAAGUUUAACGGCCGCGGUAUCCUGACCGUGCGAAGGUAGCGUAAUCAUUUGUCUUUUAAAUAGAGACCUGUAUGAAUGGCAUAACGAGGGUUUAACUGUCUCCUUCCCCUAGUCAAUGAAAUUGAUCUGCCCGUGCAGAAGCGGACAUAAAUACAUAAGACGAGAAGACCCUAUGGAGCUUUAGACAAAAGAUCAAACAUGUAAAGAAACCAAACCAACCAAAAGGAACACGAAGGCCACAAAACCCAACGUAAACUGAUCUAAAUGUCUUCGGUUGGGGCGACCAUGGGGGAAAGAAAAGCCCCCACGAGGAACAGGGACAACCCCUAAACUAAGAGAGACACCUCUAAGCAACAGAAAAUCUGACCAAAAUGACCCAGGAUACUAAUCCUGAUCAACGAACCAAGUUACCCUAGGGAUAACAGCGCAAUCCUUUCCCAGAGUCCAUAUCGACGAAAGGGUUUACGACCUCGAUGUUGGAUCAGGACAUCCUAAU
rnacentral:rRNA from 1 species